rnacentral:rRNA from 1 species
AAGUCUAGCCUGCCCACUGAAAUUAUUUUAAAUGGCCGCAGUAAUUUGACUGUGCAAAGGUAGCAUAAUAAUUAGUUUUUUAAUUAAGAGCUAGUAUGAAAGGUUGGACGAAGUAAAUUCUGUCUCUAUUUAAUUUAAAUUAGAAUUUAAUUUUUAAGUUAAAAAGCUUAAAUGUUUAUAAAAGACGAGAAGACCCUAUAGAGCUUUAUAUUUUUAAUAAUAUAAUUAUAUUAAGAUUUAAUUAUUUUUUAUUAUUAAAAUUAUUUUAUUGGGGUAAUAGAAAGAUUUAAAUAAUUCUUUUUUAUUAUUUAUAUUUAUUUAUAGAAUUAUUGAUCCAAUUUUAUUGAUUAUAAGAUUAAGUUACCUUAGGGAUAACAGCGUAAUUUUUUUGAAGAGUUCUUAUCGAUAAAAAAGUUUGCGACCUCGAUGUUGGAUUAAAGAUUAUUUUUGGUGUAGAAGUUAAAAAUUUUGGUCUGUUCGACCAUUGAAUCUUUACAUGAUCUGAGUUCAGACCGGUGUAAGCCAGGUCGGUUUCUAUCUUUAUUUUUGUAUAAUAUUUUAGUACGAAAGGACCAAAUAUUAAAUAUAUUAAUAUUUAUAUAUUGAAUAUUAUU